UACGAAGGGGGGCUAGCGUUGCUCGGAAUCACUGGGCGUAAAGCGCACGUAGGCGGGUCUUUAAGUCAGGGGUGAAAUCCUGGAGCUCAACUCCAGAACUGCCUUUGAUACUGAAGAUCUUGAGUUCGGGAGAGGUGAGUGGAACUGCGAGUGUAGAGGUGAAAAUUCGUAGAUAUUCGCAAGAACACCAGUGGCGAAGGCGGCUCACUGGCCCGAUACUGACGCUGAGGCACGAAAGCGUGGGGAGCAAACAGGG
rnacentral:rRNA from 1 species